GCUGGGCGUGGUGGAGCAUGCCUGUAAUCCCAGCUACUUGGGAGCCUGAGGCAGGAGAAUUGCUUGAACCUGGGAGGCAGAGGUUGCGGUGAGCCGAGAUCACGCCACUGCACUCCAGCCUGGGUGACAGAGCAAGACCCUGUCUCAA
rfam:Nomascus leucogenys chromosome 24, whole genome shotgun sequence.